GAUGAACGCUGGCGGCGUGCCUAACACAUGCAAGUCGAACGGAGUCCAGCCUUUAAGACCUUCGGGUCAAAGAGGGGAAGACUGAGUGGCGGACGGGUGAGUAACACGUGGGCAACCUGGCUCAUAGAGGGGGAUAACAGAGAGAAAUUUCUGCUAAUACCGCAUAAGCACACACUGCCGCAUGGCAGAGGGUGAAAAGAGAAUCGCUAUGAGAUGGACCCGCGUCUGAUUAGCCAGUUGGCAGGGUAAGAGCCUACCAAAGCGACGAUCAGUAGCCGAUCUGAGAGGAUGAACGGCCACAUUGGGACUGAGACACGGCCCACACUCCUACGGGAGGCAGCAGUGGGGGAUAUUGCACAAUGGGGGGAACCCUGAUGCAGCGACGCCGCGUGAGUGAAGAAGUAUUUCGGUAUGUAAAGCUCUAUCAGCAGGGAAGAUAAUGACAGUACCUGAAGAAGAAGCCCCGGCUAACUACGUG
rnacentral:rRNA from 1 species